GGUGAACGCUGGCGGCGUGCUUAACACAUGCAAGUCGAACGGUGAACACGGAGCUUGCUCUGUGGGAUCAGUGGCGAACGGGUGAGUAACACGUGAGCAACCUGCCCCUGACUCUGGGAUAAGCGCUGGAAACGGCGUCUAAUACUGGAUAUGUGACGUGAUCGCAUGGUCUGCGUCUGGAAAGAAUUUCGGUUGGGGAUGGGCUCGCGGCCUAUCAGCUUGUUGGUGAGGUAAUGGCUCACCAAGGCGUCGACGGGUAGCCGGCCUGAGAGGGUGACCGGCCACACUGGGACUGAGACACGGCCCAGACUCCUACGGGAGGCAGCAGUGGGGAAUAUUGCACAAUGGGCGCAAGCCUGAUGCAGCAACGCCGCGUGAGGGAUGACGGCCUUCGGGUUGUAAACCUCUUUUAGCAGGGAAGAAGCGAAAGUGACGGUACCUGCAGAAAAAGCGCCGGCUAACUACGUG
rnacentral:rRNA from 1 species